GACAGAGGGUGCUAGCGUUGUUCGGAAUGACUGGGCGUAAAGGGCGCGUAGGUGGUUUAUCAAGUUAGGUGUGAAAGCCCCAGGCUUAACCUGGGAGGUGCAUUUAAUACUGAUAAACUAGAGGACGAGAGAGGAAAGCGGAAUUCCUAGUGUAGAGGUGAAAUUCGUAGAUAUUAGGAGGAACACCAGAGGCGAAGGCGGCUUUCUGGUCUGUAACUGACGCUGAGGCGCGAAAGCGUGGGGAGCAAACAGG
rnacentral:rRNA from 1 species